AGGAAUGUAGCUCAGUAGUAGAGCACUUGCCUCAAAUGCAUUAGGACCUGGGUUUGAUCCCUGGCACUG
rnacentral:tRNA from 1 species